rnacentral:rRNA from 2 species
UUGCUCCCUGAGAUUAGCGGCGGACGGGUGAGUAACACGUGGGCAACCUGCCUAUAAGACUGGGAUAACUUCGGGAAACCGGAGCUAAUACCGGAUACGUUCUUUUCUCGCAUGAGAGAAGAUGGAAAGACGGUUUACGCUGUCACUUAUAGAUGGGCCCGCGGCGCAUUAGCUAGUUGGUGAGGUAAUGGCUCACCAAGGCGACGAUGCGUAGCCGACCUGAGAGGGUGAUCGGCCACACUGGGACUGAGACACGGCCCAGACUCCUACGGGAGGCAGCAGUAGGGAAUCUUCCGCAAUGGACGAAAGUCUGACGGAGCAACGCCGCGUGAACGAAGAAGGCCUUCGGGUCGUAAAGUUCUGUUGUUAGGGAAGAACAAGUACCAGAGUAACUGCUGGUACCUUGACGGUACCUAACCAGAAAGCCACGGCUAACUACGUGCCAGCAGCCGCGGUAAUACGUAGGUGGCAAGCGUUGUCCGGAAUUAUUGGGCGUAAAGCGCGCGCAGGUGGUUCCUUAAGUCUGAUGUGAAAGCCCACGGCUCAACCGUGGAGGGUCAUUGGAAACUGGGGAACUUGAGUGCAGAAGAGGAAAGUGGAAUUCCAAGUGUAGCGGUGAAAUGCGUAGAGAUUUGGAGGAACACCAGUGGCGAAGGCGACUUUCUGGUCUGUAACUGACACUGAGGCGCG